rfam:Avibacterium paragallinarum strain CL AvpgCL_contig_71, whole genome shotgun sequence.
UGUCGGCGCUGAAUUAGAGAUCGGCGUUUGAUGUAUGACUAACCCUACUAUUGAGGAUUUUAAUAUGUCUCUAAGUACAGAAAAAAAAGCAGCUAUCGUUGCUGAAUUUGGUCGUGAUGCA